UACGGAGGUGGCAAGCGUUGUUCGGAAUUACUGGGCGUAAAGGGCGCGUAGGCGGCCUUACAAGUCAGAUGUGAAAGCCCCGGGCUCAACCUGGGAAUUGCAUCUGAAACUGUAGGGCUUGAGUUCUGGAGGGGGUAGCGGAAUUCCCAGUGUAGCGGUGAAAUGCGUAGAUAUUGGGAGGAACACCUGCGGCGAAGGCGGCUACCUGGACAGGAACUGACGCUGAUGCGCGAAAGCUAGGGGAG
rnacentral:rRNA from 1 species